CACGUAGGGGGCAAGCGUUGUCCGGAAUCAUUGGGCGUAAAGCGCGUGUAGGCGGCUCGAUAAGUCUGCUGUGAAAGUCCAAGGCUCAACCUUGGGAUGCCGGUGGAUACUGUCGAGCUCGAGUCCGGAAGAGGGAAGCGGAAUUUCCGGUGUAGCGGUGAAAUGCGUAGAUAUCGGAAGGAACACCAGUGGCGAAAGCGGACUUCCUGGUCCAGCACCGACGUUCAGGCACGAAAGCGUGGGGAGCAAACAGG
rnacentral:rRNA from 1 species